GAUGAACGCUGGCGGCGUGCUUAACACAUGCAAGUCGAACGGAAAGGCCCAAGCUUGCUUGGGUACUCGAGUGGCGAACGGGUGAGUAACACGUGGGUGAUCUGCCCUGCACUUCGGGAUAAGCUUGGGAAACUGGGUCUAAUACCGGAUAGGACCACAUUUUGGAUGGUGUGGUGGAAAGUUUUUCGGUGUGGGAUGAGCUCGCGGCCUAUCAGCUUGUUGGUGGGGUAAUGGCUUACCAAGGCGUCGUCGGGUAGCCGGCCUGAGAGGGUGUACGGCCACAUUGGGACUGAGAUACGGCCCAGACUCCUACGGGAGGCAGCAGUGGGGAAUAUUGCACAAUGGGCGCAAGCCUGAUGCAGCGACGCCGCGUGGGGGAUGACGGCCUUCGGGUUGUAAACUCCUUUCGCUAGGGACGAAGCGCGAGUGACGGUACCUGGAGAAGAAGCACCGGCUAACUACGUG
rnacentral:rRNA from 1 species